CGUGUAGGCGGUUUGGUAAGUCGGAUGUGAAAGCUCCUGGCUUAACUGGGAGAGGCCAUUCGAUACUGCGGGACUUGAGGACGGGAGAGGGACGUGGAAUUCCCGGUGUAGUGGUGGAAUGCGUAGAUAUCGGGAGGAACACCAGUGGCGAAGGCGACGUCCUGGCCCGCACCUGACGCUAAGACGCGAAAGCGUGGGUAGCGAACG
rnacentral:rRNA from 1 species